rnacentral:tRNA from 1 species
AUAGCUUUAGCAAUAGCUUUAGCUUGCUCGAGCUUUAGCCUCGAGCUAGCUUUCGCUAAAGCUAAACUUAUA